rnacentral:rRNA from 1 species
UACAGAGGUCCCAAGCGUUGUUCGGAUUCAUUGGGCGUAAAGGGUUCGUAGGCGGUGCGGCAAGUUGGGAGUGAAAUCUCUGGGCUUAACCCAGAGGCUGCUUCCAAAACUGCCGUGCUAGAGUGCGAGAGAGGCCAGUGGAAUUGCAGGUGUAGCGGUGAAAUGCGUAGAUAUCUGCAGGAACACCCGUGGCGAAGGCGGCUGGCUGGAUCGCAACUGACGCUGAGGAACGAAAGCUAGGGGAGCAAACAGG